rnacentral:rRNA from 1 species
CGGACGGGUGAGUAACGCGUGGGGAACCUGCCCUGUACAGGGGGAUAACACUUAGAAAUAGGUGCUAAUACCGCAUAAGCGCACAGUAUCGCAUGAUACAGUGUGAAAAACUACCGGUGGUACAGGAUGGACCCGCGUCUGAUUAGCUGGUUGGCGGGGUAACGGCCCACCAAGGCGACGAUCAGUAGCCGGCCUGAGAGGGUGAACGGCCACAUUGGGACUGAGACACGGCCCAACUCCUACGGGAGGCAGCAG